UCUAGUGCACUUCCCAUUCCCAGCUAUCACACAGACCACAAAAUUCAGAGAUGUCCAUUAGAAAAUUUGAGAAAGAUGAUCAAUUACUUAAAUCUAAGGAUCAGCAAAAUGAAUUCUGAUUGUUUUUUAGAAAGCAAUCAGUAAACUGUGCCUGCCUAACAGCUAUAUAAACAGAGGAACUCUCUUAACGUUUACUAAUAUAUAUAGCUCUUAGGAAUUUAAGAUGAUUUCGUUUGAUUUAUCAUUUUGUUUUGUACAAAGGCGUAAAGCUCCACCUUCUCCAUCAAUGACUUUCCUGAAUAUUCACUUUGUUAUUAAUGGAUAUGUUACUUUUAUGAUCAUAAUAUAUAUAUGUAAUGCUAUCAAUAAAUGCACCUAAAAUAAGCAGAAUAAAGAUUCUUGAAAAGCCUUAUAUGCGAUGAAACCAAAACCAGUAACUGCCGCAAAUGAAGUAGCCAUUGAAG
rnacentral:misc_RNA from 1 species